UUUAUAGUGCAUAACAGUAAUCAAAUCAAAAGGAAGAAGAAAUGGGUGAAAAGGGUUUACAAACGCCGGCGAGGAAAGUGUAUUUGUGGGUUCGAAAGCAAUCGAAGAAGGUGAAGACUGUUUUAGGUGUUGUUACAUGUCUCACCUUACUCAUUACUCUCAGAUUACUCAUCCAUGACCACAAUCACUUCUUUGUUUUAGCUGAGUUUGUUCAUUUCAUCGGUAUCUUAUGUUUGAUUUACAAGUUGUCUACUCUCAAAACUUGCUCAGGCUUGUCAUUGAAGAGUCAAGUGCUUAC
rnacentral:misc_RNA from 1 species